GCACAUUUACACAACAUUUUAAAAAUGUUGUACAUUAAAAAAAAAUUUUGUGAUUCACCUACAUUACCAAUGCACCUGCAAUAUGCUAAUGCCAUGAUAUAUAGUUAAAAGGUCUAAAUUCUCAUUUAAAUUUAAAGUUAAAAUGUAUCAACCAUUCAAAAUAUAAUCAAUCAUUCAAAAUACAUCCCAAUAAUACCAUUCAUUUAUAGUUUCAAAUUAUUACAUCCACAAAAUAUAUAUAAAACUAUCCAUAUAUGCAUCUCAAAGGUAUAUUAUGCAAAAAAAUAGAAACAUAAAGAUACAACACAUAAACAGAUUAUAGAGAAAAAAAAUUUAAUAGGAGUAGGAGGUUGUUCAGCUUGCAUCUCCAAAUUGAGCUUCUGAAUAGAAGUGUUUGGAAGCUAAGAAUGGAAUUUCAAGGAUUCUGAAUCUCCAUUAGACGGUGAAUCCUCCAAUAUCUUUAAAGCUUUCCGAAUUUCUACAGGAGUCAUGGGUAAUGCACCACAAGCUUUGAGGAACUUGGCCUGCAUUAUAAACUUAAUCCAAUCAAGUGACUAAAGAGUAGAUUCUAAAAUAAAAGUGGCUUGUUCAAGUAACUAGCAGUUCCAGUUGUACAUUCAGAUUUCAGACUCCACUAAACUUUUGCUUAUGUAAGAGGGCCCCGUUAAAUUUUACUGAAUAUCAAGUCGAGCAACAAUUAUUAAACUCAAACUUAGGUACUUUUUACUAGGUUUGAAAAGAAGCUUAACAAUAAAAACAAGUUAAUCAGCAUAGUCAUUCAACAAGACAUAGGCUUGUAUUCAAGUCUAGGCCAUUAAUUGAAAGAUAAUACAGUACAAUUAAUUGUUGAGGAAAAAAAAGAAAUAAAGGACAAUGAUAUAAGGACAAACAGAAAACCAUAUCAACUUAUAUUUAAACAAAGAAUGAAGAAACAAAAAUUUGAGCACUACACUACCUCAGGGAAAAAGAAACAAAAGAAACUGCAAGCUCUAAGCCUUUUGACAAAGUGUAUAAUGACCGCCUAAACAUUUAAUAGAUAUAAGCUGAGUAGUAAAUCAAAUAUAUUCAUAAGUUACUAUCCAAAGAUGCAAAAAGUUCAGCCUGAUUGAAGAGCAAUAAGCAGUAACCCCACUUAACAGGCCACUUCCGAAACUGUAAAUAGUGUGCCUACAAGUAAGAAAGGCCAACAAGUGAAUUAUGAACAGAAUACCACAAGAACUUAGAAUCAAAAUAUAGGCAGAGACUAAGUAAUCUGACAGAUGCCAUUAUCUGGCUAACUGCCAUACUUGUAGACUAAGCAAUAGAAAAAUCUUACCUGCUUAACCAGCAAAAUUAGACAAAACUAGCUAUUUAAAUAGCCCAUACUCGAAAGAAUACCUCAAAAUCAAUCAACCAUCCCCCCUAGGAAUUUUUUUUUCACUGUAGAACAUCUAACUGACACUUCAAUAAAGUGCCUAACUAGGUUCUGUAACAAUGGAAAGUAAUAAAUCCCAUUCAUGAGUGAUUAGAAUCCAAGCUACAUCACCAGAGAAUUAACUACUUCAAGGUGGUAAUACCUAACGACACAAAGAGAACAUAUUAACCACGAGUAGAUGAACCAAUUAAUUAAUUAUAUUACCUCAAAUGAGUACUAACAAAAGCUGACCCACCAAUAUUAGCUCCUGUAAAUGACCAAAAAAUACACCAAUCAAUCAAAAUAAGUUGUAAUAAUAAUAAUUAUUAUAAAAAAGAAUAAUUCAGCUAAAUUGCACAAUUUAUACCUGUACAUGAAAAUGUCCAGGCCAUGAAGCUUCUUCUUGCAGAGGUGGCAAGAACUCAGAAAAUAGAUGAUGGUUUGCUCCUCUAACAAGCAAACAGAAUACCGGAAGCACAAUGAGAACACCAAACAAUCAAACAAAGAUUACAUAAAAGCAUAAGAAAAAUUGAUUGCAGACCAUUAACACCAAAUUGAUUUUGUAAUAUGAAAUAAUUAAUCAGCAAAACAGAAUCAACAUGGAUAAAUCAUCAAUUGAUAAGACCCAACCAAUUGAGAACAAACAAAAGAGCAAAAGCAAACCACAACUCAAAAACAAGAGCACAAAUCAGCCAAAAAUCCCCAAAGAUAACCAGAUCAGAUCCAAACCCUUAAGCAAGUAGAGAGUGGAUGGGCCGCAUGCGAGGAAUGAGAGAAGAGGACUAAAAUAGAACUAACGAAUAAGAGGAUGUGAGAACAUGAACAACACAAAUUUGAUUUAUGGACACAAUAAGCAGGAAGCACAUAUAAACCCAGAUCUGAACCAUCCAAAUAUGGACAUCUUCCAACAUCCGAAGCACACCAGCACAAAACAUCAAGAUCCAUUAACCCAAUCCCAGAAAGCCCUAAGCAAACCACCACAUCAGAUUAAAACUUCAAAAUCCAGCACACACAAAGAACUAUACUCCCUUACUAAUCUUAGCAAAAAAAACCCCACGAUCUAGCCACCCUUGAACUUGGUAUACAAAGAUUGAAAAAUAGAUUUUCAGGUUAGCCCACGAAAUCAGCCGCCGUAAGACUGAAAACAGAACUCAAGCAAGAAAAAGUGGUUCGAAAAGGAGAUGGAGAGCUGCGGCAAGGGGAGGUUUUUUAAUUUCAUAGUUUUCACUUACGCUCCGUGUUUUAAACUCCGUGUUUAUUUGAAGCUCCGUGUUUUUC
rnacentral:lncRNA from 1 species